rnacentral:lncRNA from 1 species
GCGCAAGCUGGACUACCUUGAGUAGAUCCUGGUGAAUGAAGGAAAGUGCUAAAGGAAAUUGGACAGUAAAUGAAUGAUUACCAGUACAGUGUACAGAGUUACUUACACACUUAUGCUAUGUUUAUGCUUAUAGUAGUACCAUGCUUCUAUCAUCAUUGAUUCAUUACUGUUGAUCGCUAUGAUCACAUGUUGUACAUGUUACAUUAUUUGUUAACAUUGGCUUAAUGAAUUGUUAGCAUUGAAAAUAUAUCAUCCAAAUUACUGCGUUUAUUUCCAUUCUGUACAUCUCGAGCCUAGUGUGUAAUUCGCCGAGGCUGCGCGGCUUACCCACUGGAACUAUUGUUAAUAAGUUCUCACGCCCUAUUUGGUGUUUUUUUACAGAGCCUGUACAGGAGAGGCUAGGGAUCGUGCAAGGGAUCGCGCCUAGCUAGGGACUACUAGGAAGCGUGCUAGUCGAUCACCUUGUUACUUCGGCUACGACCGAUGGUGAUGUCCCUUUGUAUAGAGAAACCACCCAUUGUAUCUAUCCUAUUUUUGUAUACUCGUGAUUAUAUGUACUACUCGAUCUUGAUCUACAGUUGUUAUAUCUUCUCUCUGUUGAGUUUUGGAUUGUACACUCUUUGUUCUUUGUUGAUAUAUAUACUGACCUGUACAUUCUCUGAUAUCAGGAUAGACUUUCUUUGUUUUACUUCCUAUCGACUGUUGCUUGUAGACGCCUUAUAUACUGGCAGGUGUAUGGCGGGUCUGUGCACGUGCCGGACUAUGCUUCCGCUGGUACCCGGCCGUGACAGAUUAUAGUGGUAUCAGAGCCUAGGUGAGUCUUAGUAGACCUUGUAAACCUUAGGCUGGUUGACUAUAAGGAUAGCUCGUGAGAGACGAUGUCUAGUCGAGGGUGUUGUUAGCGAAAGUACUUUGAUUGGGUACUUAUAAACCCGAAAGUAGGAGUUGAUCGGAUGUGCAAGUACUAACUUUGCAGAGGGUCACGUUGGCGUGGCUGACAAGCUGGACAUCGAGAAGUUAGUAGCGCGUUACAUUUCAUUACUUUGGCUUGAUUACUGGUUAUAUAUCCUCAAUGAGGGUUCAGUAUAGAGGUUAUUGACCUAUGUGUUUGUUUUUUGUGUUGCAGUUCAAGAUCCCUACGACUCGUUCUGGAACCCGCCGGGGCGGCUGAGGCGGCGCUGCGGAAGAGUAGAAGACUUCCGUUCACGUCGGGGUCCAGUGAGCUCCAUGAGUUGCAGGCGAUCAGCUGCGACGUUGACAGAGUUGGUUACUCAGCAGGCCGCCGCAGCAGCGAACACGAGAGAGAGGGCGAGAUGAGGAUGCUGCGCAGUCGCAGGGACAGGAUGAAGAGAUUAGAGGAUCUAUUACUGCGGCAGACGACCGAUAGAGAGAUUUCCAGGUUCUGUUAACUCCGGACUUCUGUACUAUAACAGAAGAGGGCACCACAGUGAGAGCAUAUGCACCGGUACCGCGUACGAUACACCCCCAGUAGCUCCGAGGGCAGAGACCGACAGGCGACAGUAGUCACCACCACAGUACCUGUAGCAAUAGCUGGGACAGUGUUACCCGAUGAUGGUGGGGGUUGAGUGGAGAGCGGAGUCGAUGAGAACGACUAAAUGAAUUCCGUCGGUGCAAUCCUCGUAAUCUUGACGGGGAGAAGGCAGAUCCAUUGGUGGUCGGAGAAAAUGUUAAUGCAUAUGGAGAAACUAUCUAUGACACUUUUGUUGAGGAAGCGGUACCGAGUUUGGUUUGCGAACACACCACUUGAUGUCGAGGCUUACAGGUGGUGGGUGGACAAUCCGGGAGGAUCCCCGUGCUGAUUUGUCUGCUAUCACGUGAACAGGUUCAAGAGUUGUUGUUGACUACCUAUUUUCCAAACAGAGUGUGAAGAGGCAGAUGGAAAGGGGAUCUGAGGAACUUGAGACAGGGGGACACGGACAGUGCGUGAGUACGAGCGAGAGUUCUCUCGAUUACUGCACUGUGUUCCUUUUUUAGUCCGAGACGAAUGAGGACAAGGCUCGUAUUUUUGAGGUGGGUUUGCGGCCUGCGAUUUUCAGAUUGGUCCAGGCAGUCAAAACCUCUCCACUUACCGGGUCAUGUCGUGAACCGAGCCUUGAUCGUGGAGAAAGGAGCGAAAUCAUGAAGGAAAGAGAUAUUGUGGAUCGAAGCAAAGGCAAGAGACCAAGCAGCUGAGAGCAGUGGCCAGAGUCCUUCAGGAAGACCGCCAAAGUAUCCGAGGGACAGUACAGACAGUCAAGGGUCGAGGAUCUUCAGCACGCCCGUGGAGCACCCCGAGCGUCGGCGACCGCCGCGUUGUUAUCGUGGUAGGCCUCACGAUACCGCCACAGUGUCCCACAGCGUGGGGCCGUGCUUUCUUGCGGCCAGGAGGGCCACCUUUCGCUCAGAGUGCCCGAGAGGUUCUUUGCCGGCACCCUCAUCAGCGACUCACCUGAAUCUUCAGCUCCGAGCCAGGGGACCCCCGACAGCACCCUAUCAGUCUAGGCGACCAUCAGACGCGGCAGUCGUCUGAGAGUCCGCAGCAGGGUCUGAGUGGCGGAUGUAUGCCGCCCAGACUGAGGGGCCGCAGCAGCGCAGGAGGUCGUAGCAGGUAUCAUUAUGCUUUAUGAUAUUCUGUUCGUGCAUUAUUUGAUACUGGUGCAUCGCAUUCUUUUAUUGAUCGGCAGUUCGCACGAGUUGCAUAGCAUUUCUUCAGCACCUAACUUGCAUCUGGGACCGAGUGAUUGUACCUGACCAUACCCUUGAUGUUCGUGAGUUUUGCCUCGCUGCCCAGUUAGGUAGGCGACUGGAUCAUGCCAGUGGAUUACUGGCACUACACAAACUAGGUGAGUUUGAUGUAGUAUUGGGUAUGGAAUUGGUUUGACAACAAGUAUUAUCGCCACCAUAGAUUUGCAGCGAACAGAAUCGAGUGACCUUUCCGGGAACGCGGUCAACANNNNNNNNNNNNNNNNNNNNNNNNNNNNNNNNNNNNNNNNNNNNNNNNNNNNNNNNNNNNNNNNNNNNNNNNNNNNNNNNNNNNNNNNNNNNNNNNNNNNUACUACCACGGGGCCAUUAGGCGCGGCGCAAGCUGGACUACCUUGGGUAGGUCCCUGUGAAUGAAUGGAAAGUGCUAAAGGAAAUUGGACAGUAAUGAAUGAUUACCAGUUACAGUGUACAGUAGUUACUUACACAAUUAUGCUAUGUUUAUGCUUAUAGUAGUGGCCACGCUUCUAUUAUUCAGUUAAUUCAUUACUGUUGAGACUAUGAUCACAUGUUGUUUACAUGUUCAUUAUUUGUUAACAUUGGCUUAUUACCAGUUAGCAUUGCAUAAGUAUAUAUGUCAUGCAAUUACUGCUUUUGCUUUCAUUUAGUACAUCAUGAGCCCAGUGGUGUAAUUCGCCGAGGCUGGCGGCUUA